UUUAAAAGAAUUUUACUACAAUUUAAAGGACGCGGUAUCUUGACCGUGGUAAUGUAGCAUAAUCACUCGCCACUUAAUUGGUGGAUAGUAUGAAUGGUUGAACGAAUAUAACACUGUCUCAGGUAGAGGUUUUAUAAAAUUGGAUUAAUAGUAAAGAUACUAUUUUAAAUUAUAAGACGAAAAGACCCUAUAGAGCUUAACUAUAAUCUUUUUUUAACUAUAUAAAUUUAUUUAUAAAAAUAAAAAGACUGGUAGUUUAGUUGGGGCGACUAUCUUCUAAAUAAACGAAGAUAAACAAUAUUAAUAAAAUAAUUUAUUGUAUAAUAAAUGA
rnacentral:rRNA from 1 species